rnacentral:rRNA from 1 species
GAUGAACGCUGGCGGCGUGCUUAACACAUGCAAGUCGAACGGGAAACCUUUUAUUGAAGCUUCGGCAGGUUUAGAUUGUUUCUAGUGGCGGACGGGUGAGUAACGCGUGGGUAACCUGCCUUAUACAGGGGGAUAACAGUCAGAAAUGACUGCUAAUACCGCAUAAGCGCACAGGACCGCAUGGUCCGGUGUGAAAAACUCCGGUGGUAUAAGAUGGACCCGCGUUGGAUUAGCUAGUUGGUGAGGUAACGGCCCACCAAGGCGACGAUCCAUAGCCGGCCUGAGAGGGUGAACGGCCACAUUGGGACUGAGACACGGCCCAGACUCCUACGGGAGGCAGCAGUGGGGAAUAUUGCACAAUGGGGGAAACCCUGAUGCAGCGACGCCGCGUGAAGGAAGAAGUAUCUCGGUAUGUAAACUUCUAUCAGCAGGGAAGAAAAUGACGGUACCUGACUAAGAAGCCCCGGCUAACUACGUGCCAGCAGCCGCGGUAAUACGUAGGGGGCAAGCGUUAUCCGGAUUUACUGGGUGUAAAGGGAGCGUAGACGGAUGGACAAGUCUGAUGUGAAAGGCUGGGGCUCAACCCCGGGACUGCAUUGGAAACUGCCCGUCUUGAGUGCCGGAGAGGUAAGCGGAAUUCCUAGUGUAGCGGUGAAAUGCGUAGAUAUUAGGAGGAACACCAGUGGCGAAGGCGGCUUACUGGACGGUAACUGACGUUGAGGCUCGAAAGCGUGGGGAGCAAACAAGAUUAGAUACCCUGGUAGUCCACGCGGUAAACGAUGAAUGCUAGGUGUCGGGGAGCAAAGAUCUUCGGUGCCGCCGCAAACGCAUUAAGCAUUCCACCUGGGGAGUACGUUCGCAAGAAUGAAACUCAAAGGAAUUGACGGGGACCCGCACAAGCGGUGGAGCAUGUGGUUUAAUUCGAAGCAACGCGAAGAACCUUACCAAGUCUUGACAUCCCUCUGACCGACUCUUAACCGAGUCUUUCCUUCGGGACAGAGGAGACAGGUGGUGCAUGGUUGUCGUCAGCUCGUGUCGUGAGAUGUUGGGUUGAGUCCCGCAACGAGCGCAACCCCUAUCCCCAGUAGCCAGCGGUUCGGCCGGGCACUCUGAGGAGACUGCCAGGGAUAACCUGGAGGAAGGCGGGGAGGACGUCAAAUCAUCAUGCCCCCUAUGAUUUGGGCUACACACGUGCUACAAUGGCGUAAACAAAGGGAAGCGAACCUGCGAGGGUGGGCAAAUCCCAAAAAUAACGUCCCAGUUCGGACUGUAGUCUGCAACCCGACUACACGAAGCUGGAAUCGCUAGUAAUCGCGGAUCAGAAUGCCGCGGUGAAUAAAAGGCCGGGUCUUGCACU